GUCUAGGGCCAUACCACCCAGAACAUUCCUGAUCUCAGAAGCUAAGCAGGGGUGGGCCCGGUCAGUACUUGGAUAAGGGAAUUGAAAAACCCAGUUUUUUACUUA
ensembl:rRNA 5S_rRNA 5S ribosomal RNA